GUUGGUGAACCAGCGGAGGGAUCAUUACCGAGUUUACAACUCCCAAACCCCUGUGAACAUACCUUUUGUUGCUUCGGCGGGAUCGCCCCGGCGCCUUCGGGCCCGGAUCCAGGCGCCCGCCGGAGGACCUAAACUCCUGUCUUCAUGAGUAUCUUCUGAGUGCCACAAGCAAAUAAAUUAAAACUUUCAACAACGGAUCUCUUGGUUCUGGCAUCGAUGAAGAACGCAGCAUCUGACUGACUGGAAGCUU
rnacentral:misc_RNA from 1 species